UUCUAGUAUUUUUUAGUUGCAUGCCUAUUUCAUUCACCUGCCCUUUCUCACUUCUAUUGAUUUGUUCAGAGAUUAAAUUUCCCCCUAAAUACCUAAAAAUUUUGAUAUGUUCUCUCAUCAUGCUUCAAAGACCUUCUAUUGAAUGUUUUUUUUCUUAUAUUAUAAUAAGAUGCAUUUAGCACUUCUUUUCCAUAUUUCUUAGUGAGAUUUUUAUGUCCUAAUAACCAGCCAAUUUUUGUAAAGGUACCAUGUAUAGUGAAGAAAAAGGUAUAUUCUUUUCUAUUCCCAUUCAAUAUUUUCUGGAGGUCUGUUGCAUCUAAUCUAAAAUUCUAUUCAUCUCUUUAACUUCUUUGUUGUUUAUUUUAUGGUUAGAUUUAUCUAGGUCUGAGAGGAGUAAGUCAAGGUCCUCAACUAGCAUAGUUUUACUAUUUCCUCCUGUAACUUGAUUAACUUUUUCUUCAACAAUUUGGAUGCUUCUUGUUUUCUCGUUUUACAGCCUAUUUCCUGACUUUGGGUUCUGCUUAUUUCUGGGGAAGAGAGCGGAUAGGUGCCUAAGCCAACAUCCAGAUCCUGAGACCUUGCCUGAGCAAAUAGAGGAUCAUGAGUUUUCCCAACGUUUCAAGGAGUGAGGAAGUAAGGACCCAGAAUGAUAGAGAUAUUCAAAGGAAAGUAAGCAGGUUUUGAGUCACUUCCAAAUACUGAUGGCCCAGAGAUCUCUGAAGACAGCGGUUUUUCUGGUUUUCUUUGUCUGUACUUGUUUGGGGAUAUCUCUUGAAGCUCAAAAGAAAAGGAGUGUGUCUGAGUAUCAGUUCAUGCACGAUAAAGGGAAGACCAUUCAGUCCCUGAAAAGGCUAAUGUGGUUAUACAAUGCCAUGGGUGGGGUGCACUCCACUAGUGGCAGAGCCGCUUCCCAGUCUGACAGCCUAUGGAAACGGCAGAAGCGCCUGACCCACCCCAGUCGGAACAGAGAUAUAAGAGGGCUUUACACUCACAACCUGGUGAAGCAAAUUCUCAUUAGCCUGAUCACUGAUGCCCAUUUUCCUAGACUGUAAAAUCCACCGGAGCAGAAGCCAUUUCUUAUCCAAACAUGGUGCCUGGAAUAAUGUUGUGUAUACAGGAGUUGAUUAAUAAAUGCUGCUUGAAUGAAUACA
rnacentral:lncRNA from 1 species